AAUCAAGGUGAAAGAAAUUGUAAGGUAUGCAACAGCAAAAACUUAGAGAGUAGCCUUCCAUUGUUUCUGAUGAAGAAAGUGACUACUGAAGAAAAAAAAUCUCAUUUGGUCUGUUGUGCUGAAAUCAGACCUGCAGCAGUAUCCGCUGACUUGGUGGCUUCAGUACUACCAUGAAGAACACAGUCUGCCACAGAAAAAGCACAUGAACAGAAAAGUGCACAGCAGAGCCACAAAAAAACUGAACUAAAGCCAGUCAUGCUGUUGGAUCAACAUCACUGCUCAGUGAGCAAAGCCACGACAAAGUGGCAAUGGCUUUGAAAAGAGACCAAGUACAGAAUGACAGAGAGGAAGUAAGGACCCUAAGUCAUCAGUUCCAGAGAAAGCCAAAAAGUAAACAGAAAAACUAUUUCUAAUAUUUGCUUUGGUAUUUCCAGCAUCUAGACCUAGUCCAUCCAGAGACAAAACACUAAUAAGAACAUAUUUCUUAAGCCCAGACAGAACACCCUCAACACUAAUGUUUUUCAUCCUGGUAGACAUAGGUUUUCAUUGUAUGAAUGCUGUUGAUAUGAGGCAUCUAAUCCUUUAAUAUGUAUAUUAGGCUCCUUAAAGACACAACACUUACGGUUAACAAAUGAGCAAGAGGGAAGGUGCUAGUAAAAACUGUGACAUGUAAUACUAAAGUUGCUCUCUUUUUUGCUCCUUCUCUCUCUCUCUCUCUCUUUGAGUGCUUGAGGAUAUAUUGAGAGAUUUUGUCCAGUUUCCUUGCAACCCUUUCUUUCCCUUGGGCUCAUAUCUGGAGAGCUUUAUAAUGAUGUUGUGGUUUCUCAAGGUCCAUAAAAAGCAGACCUUUGUUCAGCAGUAGAUUUCAUAUGAUGAUUUAGUGUUACUCUCAGCAAAUCCCUUCGUAUGUCUGGGACAGCCUUUUUAAAUGGUAUCAUAGCUUUCAUAAUUAUAAACUUCCUUCUGGUAGCUGCUAAUUUCUUUCGCUCUUUGAAUACCCAUUCUUAAGACUUUGAUUUCCUACUACAAGCAUGUGUUUGUUGUGGGAUAGGUUAUCUAUUUAAAACCAUUCCCAUUAUCGAAGAGUGUCUGUAAAUAAAGCAUAAUUCUUGUGAGGGAGCUGUCAUCUAGAAGUUGUACACGGAAUCUUAUCAGAUUAUAGAAAUAACAUUUCUGAGAAACGAAGGACAAAGAUGACCUAAAAUAAAUACAUACAGUCCUGCAAGUGACUCAGAAGAGGCAGAACCAGAGCCCACAAGCAGACAGCACAAUUAACAGGUUGUACUUCGCAUUGAUGUCCUAGAGAUUACAACUUCCCAAAAUUAAUCCCACUUUUCCAGCCAUUCUGGCCUCUUUCUAGCAGACAAGAAUUGACUCAUCAUCCCUCCUGGCCCCAGUGUCUAACCCAGAUAUUAGCCUUGAAUGAUUUUCCAGUUAAGAACUGAUAACAGCCACAGCAUCAUUCUAGUUACCCACCACUUUCUAUUUACUAUUGAGUCAUUGCUUUCUAGAACUCUGGGUUUCCAUGUUAUCUCUGCAAGGCUCUUUCAAGCUUAGCACAAAGUGCAGGUGUCUCCAGGUACACCCAAACCACUGUAACUUAAAAAAUAUUAUAACUCCUUUUUCUCUCUUUCCAGGAUGUUGUACUCUCCACAUCUGCAGUUGCAUUCACCCAUACUAUGUCCCUUUCCAGAUAACAUCCAGACAAAUUUGGAACAUGUUCCUGAGGCAUUCUGCAAGUGCCUUUGCUAUGAAAGUAUUACAAGCCUCACUGUUUCGUGUAGCUUGCUCAGAUGCUGUGAGAAGGCAAGCAAACCAGUUAAGCAAGUAUGUCACCAUGUACAUUUGUACCACUGCAUUGAGAUUCACAGAAUCAUUCACAGAGUGCAUAUAAACAAGUUUAGUUGAGGUUUGCCUAAUCCCACCUGGGACUUUUUGUAAGGCACUGUGCUUUGCAUUUAGAUUUCAUUUCAGCUGGCAGCUUUCAAACCAGAAACCACUCUAGGCUCCUUGCUCUGCUCAGUUGCCCUAAUUAAUAUAGACAUACAUAUAUGUGUAUAGGUAGAUAAUAUACAGCAGUACAGUGUAUGUAUGUCUAUAUAGUAUAUAUACAUAGUAUGUGUAUAUAUCAUAUUUCCUUACAGUGUAGUGGAACAAACACAUGGUUUAUUCUGUAUCUCUGAAACAAAUCAAGCUUUCAGGCUUUUUAUGGUAAGGAAGAGGAAUACUGGUAUGUUUAACCAAGUCUGCUGCCUAGUUCACCUUGUUAUUGCUAAUAGCCUCUCAGAACAUAAUGCUGCACUCCUGAGAAAAAACAAAGCAAACAGACUUUGGAAAAGAAUAGUGAGUAGUCCAGCCAUCUAUCUAUAUGGGGUAUAAAAUCUCUGCCUAAGAAAUCAUAAUGAAUGUACGGAUCCAUUG
ensembl:lncRNA